GCGGGUGUAGCUUAGUGGUAAAGCCCCUGCCUUCCAAGCAGGACAUGUGGGUUCGAUUCCCAUCACCCGCU
rnacentral:tRNA from 1 species